rnacentral:rRNA from 1 species
AAUCAACGCUGGCGGCGUGCCUAACACAUGCAAGUCGCACGAGAAAGGGACUUCGGUCCUGAGUACAGUGGCGCACGGGUGAGUAACACGUGAAUCAUCUACCUUCGAGUGGGGAAUAACUGAGAGAAAUCUUAGCUAAUACCGCAUAAUACCUACGGGUCAAAGCAGCAAUGCGCUUGAAGAGGAGUUCGCGGCAGAUUAGUUAGUUGGCAGGGUAAGGCCUACCAAGACGAUGAUCUGUAUCCGGCCUGAGAGGGCGCACGGACACACUGGAACUGAACACGGUCCAGACUCCUACGGGAGGCAGCAGUGGGGAAUUUUGCGCAAUGGGGGAAACCCUGACGCAGCAACGCCGCGUGGAGGAU